rfam:Schistosoma mattheei strain Denwood, Zambia genome assembly, scaffold: SMTD_scaffold0000328
AUCCAGCUGACGAGGCUCAAAUAGGAUGAAACGCACGUCCUAGAU